CCUACGGGAGGCAGCAGUAGGGAAUCUUCCACAAUGGGCGAAAGCCUGAUGGAGCAACGCCGCGUGUGUGAUGAAGGCUUUCGGGUCGUAAAGCACUGUUGUAUGGGAAGAACAGCUAGAAUAGGGAAUGAUUUUAGUUUGACGUACCUACCAGAAAGGACGNANAUCG
rnacentral:rRNA from 1 species